AGUCGAGGGGUAACGGAAGUAGCUUGCUACUAGACGACGACCGGCGCACGGGUGAGUAACGCGUAUGUAAUCUGCCUUGUACAGAGGGAUAGCCCAGAGAAAUUUGGAUUAAUACCUCAUAGUAUUACCGAAUCGCAUGAUUUGGUAAUUAAAGCUCCGGCGGUACAAGAUGAACAUGCGUGACAUUAGCUAGUUGGUAAGGUAACGGCUUACCAAGGCUACGAUGUCUAGGGGUUCUGAGAGGAUGAUCCCCCACACUGGUACUGAGACACGGACCAGACCCCUACGGGAGGCAGCAGUGAGGAAUAUUGGUCAAUGGACGCAAGUCUGAACCAGCCAUCCCGCGUGAAGGAUGACUGCCCUAUGGGUUGUAAACUUCUUUUAUAUGCAAAUAAACCUACUUUCGUGAAAGUAGCUGAAGGUAGCAUAUGAAUAAACACCGGCUAACUCCGUGCCAGCAGCCGCGGUAAUACGGAGGGUGUAAGCGUUAUCCGGAUUUAUUGGGUUUAAAGGGUACGUANGCGGUAAUAUAAGUCAGUGGUGAAAUCCUGUAGCUCAACU
rnacentral:rRNA from 1 species